ACACCAAUAUCUUUACGUGUGUGUGUGUGUGUGUGUGUGUGUGUGUGUGUGUGUUUGCAGACCGAUGCGUGGAUUAAAACGAUGUGUUGAAAAAGCCACAUGCACAGAGUCUUGUUUUUACCUCACAGAUGUGAUGCAUUUGCACAUAAAUAUCAAAUAGACUUUUUCUUAAUAAGGUCUGGAAUCAGCUGAACAGCCAAACAGGCAUAGAAAGGACACCUUAAUCACAGUCACACAGAUGAGAUUAGAUUAGGAGAUUAGUGAAAAAGAUUUUUGAAGCAGAAUUUAAAGUUUCGAUAAGUGUGGGACUCUUGAGUUUCCUCAUUUCCUGUAAGAAGGAAGUUCUCUUUCUUCCAGUAUUACACAGAAACUAAAAAGUGGUAAUUUAGCAAGUUUGAUUUUUCCCAAAGUAGAUCCACUUGUUACAUUUCCUUUCUUUUAGGAAUUUUUUGUAAAAUACUUAGAAUUUCCGUAAGUAAACUUUUUCUUAUCUUUUCAUAUGUCUGACAUUUCAGUCAUCUAUAAUUGUUAAAUUUGCAGUAUUUCUUUUUCACAAUAAAAAAUAUGUAAAAGUACGCAAGUCAACCGUCUGGUUUUACUUCAGAUUAUUGAUGACCAGUUGCUUUGUGAUUUUUAACAUUCCAUGAUUUGUCCUUUUGGCUGACACAAACAGGAAGCAUCUCUGUGCAGAGCUGCAUUUAGCCGUGACUGUCAGUUUCUGUAUUUCCCCAUUACACAGAUGUGCACACGCAGUAGUUGACGGACUUUGACUCUGUUCUGCUUGCUGGAGUAUUUUACAUACUUGAUAAACAUUUUAUGUUCACCAUCAACCCAAAUAAACUCCUAUUAGAACAUAUAAUGCAAUUGAGGGAAAAAAAUCUACUCAUUUUAAUUAAAGCUGCAAUAAGAGACCUACAAAACAAGUUAGCCUUUAAACAUAAACACAGUCAAAGAACUCUCCCCACACCUGUCUGUCAUCCCUAGGCUAUGCCCCUCUGGUACCAAAACCUGCAUUGCCACAGUAAACAAGAGAGCACUAAACACCAGUCAUGUUCUAUGUCCAAACAUCUUUUGUUGUCUAUGAUUUCCUCUAGUAGUUUGUCCUAAAGCUGAAGUGGUAGCAGCCGGCUGUUUCUCCUUCUCUGAUAUUAUUGAGCAGUGAACCUCUCACACCAGUGGUGUUCUGCUAUACCAUGAUAACUGUUAGUGGUGCAGCAAUAAUAAAAAACUCUGUUUAGAUUGGAUCACGGUUUUCAGUCAUGGAUCAAAUCUUUUUUGGAUUCGCAGAAAGAAAAAAAAAGACAGCUUUGAUCUUUCUUCAUUUUGUAGAAAAAAAUUGCAACAUUUUUCUGCUUACUAUGCAACUUGCUUUAAAAUAGGAAGAGAGAGGUCUGAUUGCUGAUUAAAUUAUAUAACGGCUUGCCCUUUAUAGACACGCUCACUCCCUGUGUGUCCUGCUUUCACUCCUUUUGUCACUUUUCUGAAGCAUUGCUUAUUUUACUUUCGUGCUAAUUUACACAUUUGUCCCCAACAACAUUUACACAUCCCACUUACGUUAAUGUAAUUAGAAUAAAUGUGUCAACCUCAGCAGUUCCAGUCACAGACAUCACAUACGUAGACACCCCAUGGACUGGCACUACCUAUUGGAGCUGCCGUAGUGGCCGGCCGCCAUCUUGGAUGGGUCCCCAUUCGCCCCCAGUGUAUCUAAAGGGAGCCUAAGUCUCCUCCCAUUCCGGUCGGCUCAUGGGUCCCCGGAAAAACAAAAACUGAAUGCAAAUCAACGUGGCUAAAAUAGCUUUUUUCUAAUCCGCUUUGCCUUACGCCCUGGAUCACACAUAUGUUGUACUGCAAUUUAAAUGAAAAGUAAUGAUGGGUGUUUGGUCCACAUCAGUCACGUACUUUGAGAUUUGUCAGCUUGUAAAUGUUUGUAAUUAGCACAACCACAAAUCAGACAUUGGCACGUUGCAUAAAUGACAUUACCACAGAAUCUCUGAAGGAGAUCCCUCUGUAGGAAGGAGCUCCCAGGAAAAAUGUGUCUAUACUAUUACACAUCCAAUGGAAAGGCUUGGUCAGUGUCCCACUGCAGCAUCUGAACAAGAUGGAGGUCUGGAUAUAAUCUGACUCAAACACCUAAAUACUUAUGUGUUUUUCAGCUGUUCUGUUCUUGAUUUGCUGCUGAGCUUUGGGUUAUUGUCCUGUUUCCGAUCAAAUUUCAUCACGGCUUACUCUUCUCCUCCACCAGAGAAGUCAACAGUUUAUUUUGCAGACUUGAGCGAACAUGAACUUCUAAAAGAAAAGAAGUUUCCAUCUAACAGCUCUUCCAAACAAUCCUUACUGGUUGUUUCCUAGCCAUGACGUUAUUUAAUGUAGCAUUCAAUAAGCAAGUUGUGGCCUGCAGAGGCUGAUAGUUUUGGAUUUUUGUUUUUUAUUUGACCUUUGUUUGUUUAAGAUUGUGUGUCCUGUAAUUUGUUAACAAAUUAAAUAAUGAUGAUGUUUAUGUUUAUGUAUUUAGCAGAUGCUUUUGUCCAAAGCUACUUACAAAUGAUGAUCCACUGCACUGGCUUUUUAGGUGGAGGAAUGUCUGUUUUGAUGAUUUAACAGAGACGAUUUACGUUUCUUUCAUGGACUCCAUAUUUCUGCUCAUUUAAUUAGUCUUGUAGACAUUUUGUUGUCCUGAUUUAGCAUCUAAUGCACUCAGAUCUGUAAUCUAGAGAAGAGUGUUACAGUGUAUAAAGGCCAUAAACGCUAUCUCAAAACAAACAUCUUCCAAAAAAAUGCUUUAUUUUGUAUCUUCUAAUCAUAGAGAUUCAGAUUAUUAAUGUAGAAGCUAGACAACCUGUCAUCCUGCUCUUUGGUGUGUGUAUUUUAGAUCUGAGCUGAAGCCAGCUUGGGGUUGUUGCUCCCUUUGGUCUCCAGGGUGUGAAGUUUUAACAGUCUGUGUUUUUGAGUGGAGCAGACAUGAAGCUGCAUGAAUGAACGAUGAUUUUGGUGCACUCUCCCUGGUGGAGUGGCUGUGGGAUAAAACUCAACAGAGGAACAGACAGCGAAAGAUAACAUCUCACUCUCCACCUCUGCAGGCCAGCAACACCACCCACUGAUCAGAGAGCAGAGCAAGCAGUGGCUUCAGUGAUCACAGCAGUCUGCCCUCUAGUGGACAGACAGAAAAAUCUGUGAAAAAUAUUGUUUUAAAUUUAAAUGAAAUGUUAUUAAAAUCUCUGCUUUAAAUUUUUAUUUUAAUAGAAAAUUUAAUGUGACUUACUUGGAUUUUUAACAUUUUUCACAUAUAAAAUUUCCUUUUCCAGAAAAUAAUCAUUAUUAGUUUUUUAUGACCAGUUUACAUUUUAGAAAUGAUCAUUUUCUGACUAUGUGUCUCUUAAAGAGCAAGUAACGUCUAAAUUAACUUUUUUUUGCUGAUGAACUGUAUAAAUGAGUGUCUAAUAGUGUUUUAAAUGUGUGCAUUCUUUAUUUUAGCAUUUUGGUGCAUUUUCUUUAAAAAUUAAAAAUUCUGUCUAAAAACCACAGUAAUGCGCCACCUUCAGCUGAAAACAUAGAAUUUGAGUCAUUUUGAAUAAAUUUUAGCCAAUGGCUAAAGAGUAAAGUACUACGUAAACCAGUAGAGUACUACGUAGCAGCUCCGUGCCAAAGUUAUAAAAGCAACGAGCGUCUCGGCCACGCCCUGUGGCGAGUGGGAGUUGGAUUUGCAAGCAAGUGUAGGAGGUCAGCGGUAGUUCAGCAUUAGCAUAUAGCAUUAGCAUAUCCUAGUCUUAGCAUAUCUUUUAGUGUUAUAAAUACUUAUUUAGUGUUAGAUUUGGCUGUUUGAUAUUGUAGUUUAGUUAGUGUUUGGCUGUUAGCGUAAUUGGGAAAGUAUUUCGGGUUUAGUGCUCCAUAUCGUCUUAGUAUUGGUGAGUAGGUGUAGUGUAGUAUGCUUGCGGUGACUCUGUGGGCAUUUUACCCGCGAUUCUGCACGUCUCCGUUUGAAGAGGGAGGCAGCCCACCGUGGCUCUUCCGCGAUUUAGAUGCAGCCCACCGACUCUGCUCCCCCACCACGGUGGGCUCCAGUCUGAGGUGAGUAAGCUAAAUAAACGUUUUAACAUCUUCUAAAGACAAUUCCCUACCUAAAUGCAAAGUUUGAGAGACGUGGUUCACUUCCUUUAGCUAGUCAGUCGGCAAUUCUGCAACAGUGGCUCUAACUGAUGCAGCACUUGACAGACAGCAUUACAGCGUGAAAUCCAGCUUGUGAACAGGUUCUGUGAGGAAUUCUGUUCAGGAGGUCGCAUUUCAUGCUCUCCACAUCAUGUGUGCAGUGGCGGUUCUACAUCGAAUUACUCCCCGGGCUAGGCCCCCUUUGAGCGCCCCCCCCCCCCCAACCCCCCACCACCACCACCACACCACCUGCAUGAACACACGCAUGUUUUCUACAAACAGGCAUGUUUUAUUAGAACGACUAUUGAACAUUCAUUUUUCUAAGUUGCACAUAUUUACAUUAAUUACUAUGAAGUUGUCAGAAUGUAAAGCACUAUACAUUAUAUACUGUAUCAAAAUAUAUAGAAUCAAAUAUACAAAAACAAACAAUAACUAAAUAUUAAGAAUAUAUGAACAUAAUAGAUAAUAAAUAUUCUAAAUAGCAAAAAUAUUUCACACGUAACAAACUAAAGAUAAUCACUACAGCAUUGCACUUAGAACAGAAAACACAAACUAAAAUUAAAACCUAACCUUGAUGCAACAUCAUCAAUAAUGUCAUCAUAUGAAAUCUGCUCCCCUACUGAGUGAUUGAUACUAAUCAGAGCCAGGUUAGUGAGCCGCCCCUGAAACAUAGGUGACCUCAGGUAUGACUUGAUCAAGUUUUGAAAAGCUCCUCUCAGCUUGAGCCACAGUGACUGGCAGAGCAGUCCAAAAGUUGGGGUAGAUCUCCAAUAGAUCUCAUGAUCCAUAAUAUUUUAGAAUUGCCUCUGAAAUUGUAAUUUAAACUGACAUAAAAAACUGUAGACUACCAAAAAUGCCAACUUUUACAGAACAAAUCAUGUAAAAAAUAAUCAGUGCAGCCAUCUGCAAUAAAUAAACAGGAUAGUUAGUGGUGACUGGGGAGCGUUCUUCUGCUUGUAGAGUGGUUUCAUUUAUUAUUAUGUGAACAUGAUCAACAUGUUUGUUGUUGUUCAGGCAGGCCACAGGCUGCAGUGAGCAUUUAACAAAUCCUAGUUUGAAUCAGUAAAAAACGAUUCAAGGACUUUUUUCAAACCAUUUGAAUAUUCGUUUAAAUAUUUCAGCCCUAUUAGCUCUGUUAGCAAUUAGUUGACCGCAUUUAACCGUUAAAAUCCCAGUUAACUGGUUCAAAAAAUUGAAAACAUGCAUCAUGAGAGCUACAUACCUUUAUCUUUCUGCUCUUUUUUCUUUUUUUCCCCCUGAAUGGGGGCACCUGGUGGUUUUAGCCUUUUUAUGUUCAUCUCUUCUGUUUGGCUCCUGACUCAGUAAGUUUCCUUUAGUCAGGACUAAACAAUUUGACCUUGAUGGGGGGGUGACCACAAAAUCGUUUUGUUUUUCCUUUUUUUAUUCGGCCAUUUCACACAAUUCAGAGAAACCUGAAAGAAUGAUAGGCCUGUUUUUAUGAUAUUAUGAAUGAAAUAUGGAAGAACGUUAAGAUGUGAUUGACUUUAGCCAUGUUAAUACAGUUGAUUCAGCCCCUGCACGCUCAUUUCAUUUGGGAAAGACGCAGAGGUGAAUUCCCCCGCCGCACCCCUCCCCUUCCUGUUCUUCAUAGACACACGGUGCACGUGAACGUUCUCAGUCAGCAGGAGCGCCUGCAACUGCAGGGGGCGCCAACUUGCUGUUUCCAAUCCAGACACUGUCAUAUGACAGAUAAUAGAAAACCUCGGUGCGGCGCAGAUUUCCUUUUUUUUUUUACUCCGCGCUUGUGCGCCCCUUUUGUGUCAUGAAAAAAUGCCGCCCCGGGCAACUGCCCUGUCUGCCCAUGCCUAAAACCGCUACUGCAUGUGUGACUGACUUUUACGUUAUAAUGAUCACACACUAGGAAUGUUAUAAAGCGCCUAUAUGGGACAGUUUCUUUUGUAUAUUAUCUGACUUUAUAAACUCUCAACAACAAUGUGCUUAUAUUUUUUUUUCAGGCUAAAUCUACCCAAGACACUGGCUGUCAGACUGAUUUAGCUGCAAGAAUGCACUUUUCCAGGCUGACGUGAAACCUUCCCUGUAGCAAAGCCAGCCAGAAUGGAGUUCAGAGCCGCAGUGUGUCUGGUGACCCACGGGGACCAUGAUGAAAAUUCAUCUUCCAGAAGGUCUCAGAGCAGCGGCCACACCCCCUGAAAAGACCAAGGUGUGAGGUGUCUGCUGUUGAUUCCAGCUUCCACCUCAGUGACGGUGCAAGCUCAGUGAACUGUUCAAGGUAAAAAAAAAUUAAAACAUUUCAGAAUUUUUAAGAUAUUAACAAUUAAAUAAGUAUGUGAUUACAUCAUGACGGAGGCUACUGAUUCUGCCCCCGUGACACUUGGUGGUGACGUGUGAGCUGAUUCACCUGGAAAACAACUUUUACAUUAAAUAUUUUGUUUUUGCUAUCAAAAGUAAAUUAACUAAUAACCUGCAUUAUUGCAGGACACUCAGCAAAAUAUGGACUCUACACCAUGAGGCAGGCACACGUUAAUAACUCUAUAAGAGCACAUAAGGUGAGCAACACCACAUAUAGUACACUGUCCUGAAUUUGUUUUCUUUCUGCAUCUCAUUAGCCUGGCUGAUCACCUGAUAACUCCUGUCAUCUGGUUAUGACAGCAUGAGGAUGUCCUCACACACCUGUAACCUAUCAGCUCAUCUGGCAGAAUAGAGAGAGAAGAGACAACACCACAUCUCCUGUUCCUGGAAAGCCUUCAGCCAUCCUUCGAUGACUGAGAACCUCCAUCAGCUCUGUCUCCUGUCUGCCUACAAUUAUUAAAAUAAAUAUUGUGUUUGACAA